AGAUACUCAGACAUGUAUGAUGAAAAUCUCUACAGAGAUCUCUAAACUGGAAUUGGGGAAACUUUGCAUUCUCCCAGUGCAAAGGUAAUUAUAGAUUGAAUUACUUCUGCUAAACUUCACUUUGCUAUUUGACAGCAUUCUGCACAGAACCAAAGCAGUACCCUUCUCCUCGUGACGUUUGGACAUUCUGCGGAGAUCAUGGUCUGCGCUGCUCUGCUGCUUCUCAUGGAAGGGAACUCCCUGUGUGCCAGCUACAAUGAUAUCCAAGCUGUAACACUUCUCCUUGUGUGGGUUUCCUAUCAAAAGCCAGCAGCUGCCCACUGGCCUCAGAACACACAUCGCUGGCAGUCAGUCACAUAGCUCCAUGUGAAUGCUGCUGCUUAUCUCAACUGGCUGCAACGGCAGCAGGUUUCCCAGUAAAGCUGCAAGCAAAUGGUCCGUUGUGCAGAUCUGAGAACCUGCAGCAAAUGGAACAGUGUCCCAGAGUUCAUUAAAGAGGUUGUGAGGCCCCAGAGGCUGUGCUACAGCUUUGUGACUUCAUUUGGAAGCUUUGUGAAACUGAAUGGUCGUCUUGGAUGACACCCAGAUUGCUAGGAAAAUAUCCAAGUGCAAUUGCAGGCACAAACCUUCAGGCUUACAGAGUCCCCUUGAGCAUCACUUCUGGGAACAGCAAAUCAGUAUGCCAGAUUGCCCCUCUCCCACAUCUCCAAAAGCACUGCCCAGCUCAAGGAAUGAAGGUAGCAGCCUUUCAAGCAUUAGAAGCCAUGGCACAAGCCCAUCAAAAUAUCUGAGCAGUUUGAGUAUCGUACAUCAAGAUUUGCAGUAG
rnacentral:lncRNA from 1 species